rnacentral:piRNA from 1 species
GAGUCACUGGCCCCUGAUAAAGUCC